ACGAACGCUGGCGGCACGCUUAACACAUGCAAGUCGAACGAGAGAAGAGAAGCUUGCUUUUCUGAUCUAGUGGCGGACGGGUGAGUAACACGUGAGCAAUCUGCCUUUCAGAGGGGGAUACCGAUUGGAAACGAUCGUUAAUACCGCAUAACAUAAUUGAACCGCAUGAUUUGAUUAUCAAAGAUUUAUCGCUGAAAGAUGAGCUCGCGUCUGAUUAGCUAGUUGGUAAGGUAACGGCUUACCAAGGCGACGAUCAGUAGCCGGACUGAGAGGUUGAUCGGCCACAUUGGGACUGAGACACGGCCCAGACUCCUACGGGAGGCAGCAGUGGGGAAUAUUGCACAAUGGAGGAAACUCUGAUGCAGCGAUGCCGCGUGAGGGAAGAAGGUUUUAGGAUUGUAAACCUCUGUCUUCAGGGACGAAAAAUGACGGUACCUGAGGAGGAAGCUCCGGCUAACUACGUGCCAGCAGCCGCGGUAAUACGUAGGGAGCGAGCGUUGUCCGGAAUUACUGGGUGUAAAGGGAGCGUAGGCGGGAUCGCAAGUCAGAUGUGAAAACUAUGGGCUUAACCCAUAAACUGCAUUUGAAACUGUGGUUCUUGAGUGAAGUAGAGGUAAGCGGAAUUCCUAGUGUAGCGGUGAAAUGCGUAGAUAUUAGGAGGAACAUCAGUGGCGAAGGCGGCUUACUGGGCUUUAACUGACGCUGAGGCUCGAAAGCGUGGGGAGCAAACAGGAUUAGAUACCCUGGUAGUCCACGCCGUAAACGAUGAUUACUAGGUGUGGGGGGACUGACCCCUUCCGUGCCGCAGCAAACGCAAUAAGUAAUCCACCUGGGGAGUACGACCGCAAGGUUGAAACUCAAAGGAAUUGACGGGGGCCCGCACAAGCAGUGGAGUAUGUGGAUUAAUUCGAAGCAACGCGAAGAACCUUACCAGGUCUGGACAUCGUAUGCAUAGCUCAGAGAUGAGUGAAAUCUCUUCGGAGACAUAUAGACAGGUGGUGCAUGGUUGUCGUCAGCUCGUGUCGUGAGAUGUUGGGUUAAGUCCCGCAACGAGCGCAACCCUUACUGUUAGUUGCUACGCAAGAGCACUCUAGCAGGACUGCCGUUGACAAAACGGAGGAAGGUGGGGAUGACGUCAAAUCAUCAUGCCCCUUAUGACCUGGGCCUCACACGUACUACAAUGGCUGUCAACAGAGGGAAGCAAAGCCGCGAGGUGGAGCAAACCCCUAAAAGCAGUCUUAGUUCGGAUUGUAGGCUGCAACCCGCCUACAUGAAGUCGGAAUUGCUAGUAAUCGCAGAUCAGCAUGCUGCGGUGAAUACGUUCCCGGGCCUUGUACACACCGCCCGUCACGCCAUGGGAGUCGGUAACACCCGAAGCCUGUAGUCUAACCGCAAGGAGGACGCAGUCGAAGGUGGGAUUGAUGACUGGGGUG
rnacentral:rRNA from 1 species